rnacentral:lncRNA from 1 species
GUGUAUUUAUACUCUGAUAUUUUCAGUAGCAAGACAAAUGUAUGAAGGAAAGUGAAAUUUUAAGAGAGGAAUAUUCGACAUCAAUUUUUGAAAUUCGUUGCGGGUCGAGGAUGUUUUGCGUUCACGUCACAUAUGCGAUAUUUCGAAUAAACUAGCCGCGAUUACCUUGGACAAAAUUCAUAUAUUUUGUUCUUAUUAGUUGCACAGAUGCUACUUUAAAUACCAUCUCCUAAAACAAAAGAUUUCAGAAAAGAUAAACAAUUGAUGUUCUUGAAACUUAAUAGUUAACAACGGACUUAAAAAUAUCAGUUUUGAAGGCCUUAAAAAGUGCCAUUAAAAGGCCUUAAAAAGUGCCCAUCGUUACCGAGGUACAUCCAUCCACCGUCCUGUAGAUCAGUCCUAAAACAAAAAACAAAGUAGUGUGAAACGAAUUCGCGGAUCGUAAAGAAAUGCUUAACGAAUGGACGCGAUAUGGUCUUCAAACCCUUACCGAAGUUAUGGCCGAAGAAAGAAAAAAGUUAGAAAAGACGAUGAAAGUUGGAGACUCGUCCCAUUGCAGAAUUCGAGAGUCGAUCGUAGUGCCAGGUAUCCAAGAACCUGUAGAAUCCUAAAAACAAGGUAUUUAGGGAACACCAAGAUUCACCUUGAACUUGCGAAUAUUCGUUUUAUAGACUAGUUCCAUCGUUUUCUUUCUAAAAAGAAUGAAAUCUCCUUUAAUUAGUAACGUCCGACUUUCGAAUGAAAAAUAAUUACUGCGCUUGCGCGAACCGUUGGUUCAAAUGUAUUUACAACCGAGGGUUGCCGGGAAAGAUCGAAGUGUUACUGUUCGAUUAACGCAUAAAUCGAUAGCAAAAGAGCCGUUACCUUCAGAGAUUAGCGGAACAAGGACGAAAGAUGACAAGGAGUUAGACAAGUAUUCAAAUCUGAUAUUUGAAAAUUAAUUGUUUUCCCUUGAAUCCGGAUUGAUCGAAUUCGUUCAACGUCGUCGUCGAUACGGAUUAUGAACAUUAGCGUUUGGAAGUUCAUUGGCAUCGGGAAGUAAAGCCUUUCAGAUACAGACCAGACACGGUUAUGACAGACCAUAUUCGAUGAAGGAUGAGAUAUACCGUUCCUUUUAUGAUUCUCAUCUCGUCCAACGUGAAACUUGCGCUUUGAUCUGCGAAGAGAAGAGAAAUCGGAAUGAGCUAUUCCAGAGAAAUAAACAGUUUUUGUCAACCGAUUAUACCUCGAUCCUUGACCCGAUACCGUAACACAUUGUCACUAGUCGACCCAUUAGUGCAUCUUCGCUUAAAAAACCUUAGACGAUCACUCAUUAUUUUGCCACAAAUGUAUACACGAAAAAGCUAUUAAGAGGAUAGAUAAUUCGGUGAGUUGUUCUCCGUACUAUUUUGAUAUCUGUCUAUUCCAUGAUCACGUGAUUUAUUCACCACUUUAGAAAUUGAUAGGAAUAUUCUUGGGAAAGUUUGCAGAAACCAUUAUGAUCCUUUCAAUGCUGAUUAUAAUUACGACAUUUCGCUAAAAAGCGUCUCGAGGUCAAACAUGGAUAUUUCGUAAGACGCAAUAGUUUCUCGCAUGUGGCUUCAUCCCCCGCCAUUUCCUAAACUUGCUCGAUCGAUACGAUUACAAUUAUAGUUUCCGAUUAUUUCGAUCAAUGAUCGAAAAGCUACAAUUCAAUUGCGCGGUAAUUUGUUACCGUUUGAAAUCAAGAACACUGAUGAUUCUAUAAUACAGAUAAGGAUAUACCAAGAUGUUUAAAUCUUUUUACGCGGGAGAAUGAUUUAGAUUCUGCUUCUAACUAGACAAGAUGUUAUCGACACUAAUGAUCA